rnacentral:rRNA from 1 species
CGGACGGGUGAGGUAACACGUGGGUAACCCGUCGCCCGGAAGUGGGGAAUACCUCGGGGAAACUCGAGCUAAUACCGCAUAACAUCUUCGGGACGAAAGUCCUGACGAUCAAAGCGGGGUCGCAAGAUCUCGCGCUACCGGAUGGGCCCGCGCCCGAUUAGCUAGUUGGUGGGGUAACGGCUCACCAAGGCUUCGAUCGGUAACCGGCCUGAGAGGGCGAUCGGUCACACCGGAACUGAGACACGGUCCGG